UACGAAGGGGGCUAGCGUUGCUCGGAAUCACUGGGCGUAAAGCGCACGUAGGCGGCUUUUAAGUCAGGGGUGAAAUCCUGGAGCUCAACUCCAGAACUGCCUUUGAUACUGAGAAGCUUGAGUCCGGGAGAGGUGAGUGGAACUGCGAGUGUAGAGGUGAAAUCGUAGAUAUUCGCAAGAACACCAGUGGCGAAGGCGGCUCACUGGCCCCGGUACUGACGCUGAGGUGCGAAAAGCGUGGGGGGAGCAAACAGG
rnacentral:rRNA from 1 species